GUGGGGAAUAUUGGACAAUGGGCGAAAGCCUGAUCCAGCCAUGCCGCGUGUGUGAAGAAGGUCUUCGGAUUGUAAAGCACUUUAAGUUGGGAGGAAGGGCAGUAAGUUAAUACCUUGCUGUUUUGACGUUACCGACAGAAUAAGCACCGGCUAACUUCGUGCCAGCAGCCGCGGUAAUACGAAGGGUGCAAGCGUUAAUCGGAAUUACUGGGCGUAAAGCGCGCGUAGGUGGUUUUGUAAGUUAGAGGUGAAAUCCCCGGGCUCAACCUGGGAACUGCCUCCAAAACUACUGAGCUAGAGUACGGUAGAGGGUAGUGGAAUUUCCUGUGUAGCGGUGAAAUGCGUAGAUAUAGGAAGGAACACCAGUGGCGAAGGCGACUACCUGGACUGAUACUGACACUGAGGUGCGAAAGCGUGGGGAGCAAACAGGAUUAGAUACCCGAGUAGUCC
rnacentral:rRNA from 1 species